CCUGCGUAUACCUGAUAAGUAUCCAUAUUCUACCUGUUAAAGCCCCCUAAUUAACUCCUGCCUGGUGUUUGAUGACUGGAACAGAGGCUGCAGAAUACUGGGAUCACUGUAUUCAGUCUGAGGGGACCAUGCACCCAUCCCCAAUAAAUUAACACAGAAUCUCCUAGAUGGAGAGGGGAGAGGACUAGCCGGGAAAAGGUAGAGGACUUGGGCCAGAAUGGCUAACUCAGAGAUAACAGACACUCACUGCACACACAUGCUUGAAAAUUCUGUGCCUUAUAUAAACCAGGCCCUGGGCUUAUGUAUCUGAUUCUGGAGAGUAACUGGGGACAUCAAUAGAUCAUACUGAGCUUUAAUACUGUUUUUGUGUGUUGUGUUUAUGGUGAGGUUGUGUUUCAUAUAUGGAAGGUGACUGUGUAUGACAAUGACUAUCUUCAUGGAGUGACUGGGUGAUAAGUGGCAGGAUGAGUGGGAUAAGUGUGACAAGGUGAGAGGUGUGUGACAUGGUUUGUGGGUAGGUGUGAUAGGGUGUAUGUGAGUAAGUGUGACAAGAUUUGAGGGAGUGAGUGUGAAAGGAUGAGGUUGUGAGUGUGACGGGGUGUGUGUAGUGACUGCGGAAGGGUAGUGAGUGUGACAAGGUUAGAAGGGUCAGUGUGAGUUAGGGAGUGUGUGAGUGUGACAGGGUGAGGGGAAUGUAGUGGGUUGAGAGUUGGUGAAUGGCUAUGGCAGGGCUAAGAAGUUAAGUUUCAGGGUCUGAUCCCCCAUCCUAAUUUUGUUGAGACCGGGGAACUGUCCACAGCUGAGAAUCUUCACAGUAACAAAGUGCUAAGUGUUACAGUACAGCAGAAACAGGAACUUCUGGAAUGGGAUUAAGUUAGAAAACAGCAGUUGAUUUUAUAAAUUACGUUAUUUGACUAUUAUUGUAAGAAUAUAUUUACUGUAAGGGCAGCUGAGACAUAUAUGACUCGGUAUUCUCACAACACUCCAGACUAUCAG